rnacentral:tRNA from 1 species
CAAAAAAUAGUUUAAUUAAAACACUUGUUUUGGGGACAAGUAAUGGGCACUUUUGUGGCUUUUUGA